AUUAGGUCAUAUAACUGACGGAAGUGGGUUACCACAGGGGAGUAUGACCGGUAGCACGCCGACCGUCUGGGCAAAGAUU
rnacentral:ncRNA from 2 species